AGUAUUUGUGUAUGUUUCUGUUAAGCUUAUGGACAAAGACAUAAAAGACAGGUUCAAAAAUAAAACCUCUUUUGCAACCCAGAAAGCUUAUGUGAGACAAUGAACAUGAUACUCAAGACAGCUCAAA